GGGUGGGUGGCUUACUGGUUAGAGCGUAGGGCUUGGGAGCGAAACGUCCCGAGUUCGAAUCUCGCAAGAGGCA
rnacentral:tRNA from 1 species